rnacentral:rRNA from 1 species
UACGUAGGGACCGAGCGUUGUCCGGAUUCAUUGGGCGUAAAGAGCUCGUAGGCGGCUGCUCAAGUCGAAUGUGAAACCUCGAGGCUUAACCUCGAGCCUGCAUUCGAUACUGGGCGGCUAGAGUCUGGUAGGGGGAUCUGGAAUUCCUGGUGUAGCGGUGAAAUGCGUAGAUAUCAGGAGGAACACCGGUGGCGAAGGCGCUCAUCUGGCCCAAUACUGACGCUGAGGCGCGAAAGCUAGGGGAGCAAACGGG